GAUGAACGCUAGCGAUAGGCUUAACACAUGCAAGUCGAGGGGUAACGUGUUGGAAGCUUGCUUCCGAUGACGACGACCGGCGGAUGGGUGCGUAACGCGUAUGCAACUUGCCUCACAGUGGAGAAUAACCCGGAGAAAUCCGGACUAAUACUCCAUACACUCUUAAGUACGCCUGUACAUGAGAGGAAAGAUUUAUCGCUGUGAGAUAGGCAUGCGUCCUAUUAGGUAGUUGGUGAGGUAACGGCUCACCAAGCCGACGAUAGGUAGGGGUGCUGAGAGGCAGAUCCCCCACAUGGGGACUGAGACACGGCCCAAACUCCUACGGGAGGCAGCAGUGAGGAAUAUUGGUCAAUGGAGGAAACUCUGAACCAGCCAAGUCGCGUGAAGGAAGAAUGUCCUAAGGAUUGUAAACUUCUGUAGCGAGCGAGUAAGGACUUCCACGUGAUGGGAGUUUGAAAGUAGCUCGAGAAUAAGUAUCGGCUAACUCCGUG
rnacentral:rRNA from 1 species